ensembl:lncRNA
CUUGGCUAAGAGAGGUCAGUCACAUAGCAAAAUCUAAGCUCUCCUCUGCUGUAUUCAGGCUAGCUUAAAAAUGCAGAUAUAUUGCCAGCUGACUAGCAAGACAUUCUUCUUUCAACCUUGUUUUAAGAGGCCCCUGGUUUCUUGGAAGUGAGGGAGUGCAGCACUGAGAAGCAACGGGAAGAUGUCCUACACAUGGAGCGAUAGGCAGAUGCAGCUGCUCUAGGAUCCUCUGGUCAUCUGUUUUCAUUAAAACUUCACUUGUGCAUUUGACCUACCAGCUGGAUUCAGCAUAUGUCACUGGUAAAGAGAUUGAACAUUGAAAAUCACGAACAACAUUUACAUGAAACACUAGCUGCCACUAGCUUCACAUUCAUCUGUCAGGUGAUCAAAAUCUCAAUCUGAAUUUUUAGUCUGAACAUUUUUCUUCCUGUGGUCUCUUUACAACAAAAUUGCAUCCUCUUCCUUUCUGCGGCCUUCAGAUCAGUCUUUGCAACUUCUAAGUGACGGAUGAAGGAAAUCCUUAUUGCUUGAAGCAGCUCUACCUAUUUAUAUGAACCUGCCACGUGGUUUCCUAAAAUAUGAACUGACAAGGCCAUUCGUCUCUGAAAUGCUGCUGAAGAUGGUUUCAGAACUGGAGUGAUGAAGCCUGGUCGUAAUAGCUGCUGUCUCUUUCUUGUUGCCUCGUGUGCCAAGGUGUCCCAAAGCACAGCUGUGAAACAAAGUACCGUGGAAUAUUCCUUGAGAAUUCUACCCAGAUGUGAAAAGAAUAAGUGCAUUUUUUAAAAUAGAUUUUAAGUUAAGCUGUUCAGCCUGAAAAUGUCAAAUAUGAAGAAGUGAUACUUUUGCUUAAUGUAAAACUGAAUCACUUCUUUAAUACGUAUAGCAUCUGAGUGAUUUAGUUAAGCUAUAUUAAAUUACAAUUCUGUUCUUGUUUUCUUGAUUAUAUUCAGAAUUACAAACUUCAGAUCUAUUGUUGUUAAAUAGGGAUAUUUUUCACUGUUCAGGUAUGAAUAUUUAAACAGUGCUAAAUUUCGAGGUAUACAGAUGAGCUAAUUUGAAAUUUUAAAUGAAUUAAAAGUUCAAUUUCUGAAAUGAUUUGUAAAGUCUUGCUUGAUUCUUGAGUGCUUCCAGGUGCUUCAAUAAAACCUGGUUCCAAAAAAUCCAGUAUUCUGUUUCUGAAAUUCACUAUUUAACCUCAUUCUUGUUAAUCUAGUACAAACUUUUAUUUCAUUUGACAGUACAGUUUUCAACUUUAUAGAUGAACCAGACAUUAAAACUCACAUAGCUUAUAAUUUACACGGAAAAUGGCAGAAAAAUAAAAGAUCAUUAGGGCUUGCAUUGCUAAAAUCAGAGCCAUCUGACCUCCUUUAACAAUUACUGCAUUUGAUAUUUAAUAACUUUCACAGAUUAACAUUGCUGACAAAUGAUCUGGUUUUCCAGUGGGUAGUUUAGCUCAUUGGAUCCAAAGGUAAAUAAAAGAAAAGGCAAUAAGCUCAUGGCUGUUAACAUGCUUUCAGCCCUUGGCCACCAUUUACCCCACUCCACAGCAUGUAGAAAAAUCUCUGCCCAGCUGUAAUGAGAAGCUCCACCCCAUAUUAUUCUUGUUACAUAGGUACAGGUACUUAUAGCAGAAGUGCAGAAUUCACAUUCUUUGUACAUUCUGUGAGAGAGAAAAAGCAAAUGGUCAAUCAAAUUAGUCUUUUCUCAGCAUCUCUGCCCAGUACAUUGCCCUUUAGAGCAGCGGAUUUAGUAUCAGUUGGUCUCUGCCUGGGGUACAUGACGGUUUACCUCAAAUUCAGGACUUGUCACUUCAAUAACAAUCUUUAAUUUUGGAUAUGUUUACUUUUUUUCUGUUUUCUUGUCUACUAUUCUAUUGUUUUGAAAUUCUUUUAUUGCUAAAUGCUGGAGAAAGCUCAUUUCAAACAUUCUGUUACACCAUUUUCUUUGUGUGUACCACAUACAACAGAGUUUUUCUUUCAAGUGCUGUAUUUCAUUUAAAACUGAUUGCACAAUUUUAG